CUGCUUUAUAUGUUGGGCGUCUGUGUAAAGUUUUGUCUGAAGGGAGAUUUUUGCCACUAAAGCACAUUUGAAAAUCCACUGAGCUAGAAGAACUCUUUCUUUCAGCUUGAAACUUCUAUGAGUCUGUUACUAAGCGCCCAGGAGAUGGGCACAUGGAACAGAAGAUAACAUGCAUAUAGAAAUCGAUGGAAGGGUUGACACAUAUUCUUCUAUUCACAGGUAGGAGCAAUCGUUACUUUCUCCUGGGAGCCUGGAAGCUGCCUUGCCCCCACACUUCCCCUGUGUACUCCUCUUCACUUCUCACUGUGAAAAGGCAAAAUAAAAUGGAGAAGGAAAAGUGGAUGAGUGGAAGGUAAAAGGUCAAAGGUGAGUUACAAUUGAGUCUUCAGAGUUCAGCAGUUAGUGAAGUAAAGAGAAAAAGAGAAUGUACCAGUCCACCACAGAAGACCCCAGGAAACCCACAGCAGCCUUUGGGUACUUCCUCAGGGGAGGGGGCAAGCAUAAGAAUAACAGGGAGUUUAAAAUCCUGCUAAACUAUUUCUUCGCAAAGCUGUAUUUACUUUCUGAAGUGCCUGCUAUCAGUGCCCUAUAAUCAUAGAAUCAAAAAGGAAGAAAAAUGUUUAUUUUCAUGCAGUUGCUGCCUAUUACCAUGAAUGGAAAUAUAUUUAAUACCGAUGUUUUCCUGGUGGUCCAUAUAACUUUUAUUUCUUCUACCGAAAGAAGAAUAAAAAUUAAGCCAUCCAAAGCAAAGCACCUUUUCUGAAUUUCAAGUAGACAGCUAGGCAGCACCAGAAGCUGUUAUAAAUGGGUACUCCACAGGAAUUCAGAUAAACCAAGAUGGAUUUCCUCAAACAUGUUUGCUUACAAAACCCUUUAAUUCUUAAUUCUUUCUCUCCUUCUCUCUCCUUUACACACACACACACACACACACACACAUGUACACACACACACACAGCAUGUGCUCUGUUACCUAUAGAGUUGAUAUUAUAACAAACCAGGAUGUCAAACACAGGGGAAAGUGCAUACAAAGAGUGUUUUAAAGACAAAACUUCACCAGGGUCUUCAGCAAUCUUGUUUUCUGCUGAAUUUGAGAUUUCAGAAGAGAACAUUUCUCUCUUGUCUCCCAUAAGAAUGACUCUAUUUGUUCUUUUUCAGGGUCCCCCUCAAGGGUCCUGUCCCAGAACAAAAUGAAAAAUGACGCUUUAUUUUUCACAGUAUCUUUUCUCAAGAAGUUCACGACGCUUUAGGAAACUGGUCUCAUAAAUCUUCAAGACACUCUUGAGAGGUAGAAAGCAAUGGUUUCACCCCCAUUAUACAGGUGAGGAAACUGAGGUAUAGCAGCAGAGGAAGAGUAACUUGCCAGGGCCUUUAAUAACAGUCUGAAAAACAGCAGAUUUUCUCUUUUCCAAGUCAGUUCCCCAAGUUUAUGCCUGCAUCCUAUUUGCCAAUAACCACAGGGAUAAAGUACUAAUUUCAAGAGAUCCAGAAAAUGCUUCCACUUUUAAAAAAAUACAUUAACUACAAUGUGUUUAUCUAAAUACUAAGCUAAUAAUGUACAUGGCCUUAAAUAAAUGCAUGUGAAAGUCCAUGUGUGC
rnacentral:lncRNA from 1 species